AUCGCUUCUCGGCCUUUUGGCUAAGAUCAAGUGUAGAAUUGUGUCUACAAAGCACAUUGAAUCUGUUUAAAAACUAAUUAAAAGUUAAAGUUAAAAUAGGAAAAUAAAAGUAAGUCCAUAGGGGCAGGCAUUUGGUGACCCUGUUUUGAGUGCCUGUGUCCCAUAUCAAAGUGCCUGUUCCCAAUUUCAGCUUCCUGCUACUGCACUCCCUGGGAGGCAGCAGGUGAUGGCUGAAGUACU
ensembl:snRNA U2 U2 spliceosomal RNA